CGAGGAAUAUUGGUCAAUGGGCGCAAGCCUGAACCAGCCAUCCCGCGUGCAGGAAGACGGCCCUAUGGGUUGUAAACUGCUUUUCCAGGGGGAGAAUUUUUCUGUCGUGACAGGAAUUGACGGUACCCUGGGAAUAAGCAUCGGCUAACUCCGCGCCAGCAGCCGCGGUAAUACGGAGGAUGCGAGCGUUAUCCGGAUUUAUUGGGUUUAAAGGGUGCGUAGGCGGAUUGAUAAGUCAGUGGUGAAAACCUGCAGCUUAACUGUAGACUUGCCGUUGAUACCGUUAGUCUUGAGUGUGGUCAAGGUAGGCGGAAUGUGUAAUGUAGCGGUGAAAUGCUUAGAUAUUACACAGAACACCGAUUGCGAAGGCAGCUUACUGGGCCAUUACUGACGCUGAUGCACGAAAGCGUGGGGAUCGAACAG
rnacentral:rRNA from 1 species